GUUAAUUUUCAUACAAUGGUUGCGUUCAGCAGGAUGUUUAUUUUGCAAUUGUUGGAAGUUUUCUUCACGCUGAUUGGAUUAUAUUUUUAGAUCUAGAAGAAUGACCCUAUCUCAGCAGACAAU